AAUUUUGGACAAUGGGGGAAACCCUGAUCCAGCCAUCUCGCGUGUAUGAUGACGGCCUUCGGGUUGUAAAGUACUUUUGGCAGAGAAGAAAAGGUAUCUCCUAAUACGAGAUACUGCUGACGGUAUCUGCAGAUUAAGCACCGGCUAACUACGUGCCAGCAGCCGCGGUAAUACGCAGGGUGCAAGCGUUAAUCGAAAUUAUUGGGCUUAAAGCGUGUGUAGGCGGGUCGGAAAGAAAGAUGUGAAAUCCAAGGGCUCAACCUUGGAACUGCAUUGUUAACUGCCGAGCUAGAGUAUGUCAGAGGGGGGUAGAAUUCCACGUGUAGCAGUGAAAUGCGUAGAUAUGUGGAGGAAUACCGAUGGCGAAGGCAGCCCCCUGGGAUAAUACUGACGCUCAGACACGAAAGCGUGGGGAGCAAACA
rnacentral:rRNA from 1 species